GCCCUUUUAUAGCGGGCGGCACCGCCUCCAUCCGGGCGCUGCGGGACCUUUCACCCGCCGGGGCCCGGAAGCCGCCCCGCGGAGCGGGAAGCCGGCUGUUCUUGAGAGCGGAGGCCUGAGAGCAGAGGCUUGAAGCCGCUGGUUUCCCUCAUUCUUAAACUUCGGAGCUUCAUUGUAUUUAGUGAAGUCCCUGUAUUUAUUCACUUUGGGCAGUGGAGGGAUUUAUAUAUAUAUUUUAGUGAGAGAAGCCAUUGAUUUGGCCUGGACAGUGAAAAUUCUACCCCAAACCAAGCAUUUUGCUGAGAAUAUGCCUGUUUCUACUUCCAACUCGGUUUAUCAGACCGGAGAAAAAGAUGGUUCUAGUGGGAGGUGUCCCUGCCUAUGGCAGGGGGGUGGAACUGGAUGGUCUUUGAGCUCCCUUCCAACCUAAACCAUUCUAUGGUACACGGAUGGAGUGGUGGCCUAAAGUAAGGUCACUCUAUCCUUUAAAAACAAUGUUUUAAUUUGGGGAGGUCGUUUAGUGAUCAUAGACCUCUAUAACCUUAGCAAAGGUACUGCCAGCUUUAGAAGCCUAGUAAUUACUGCAGUUAUUCAAGCCUGCUUCGUGGCUUAAUAUGAACUUACUUUGGGUCAUCACACCGCACUUAAUACUUUUUUUCCUCCCCUUAACAAAUGUUUUAUGCUCAUACAGUCCAUAAACCACAUGCGAUGAAGUUACCUUCUGUGUGCCAGCUGUGGCAUUGUGAUGCUCGGUGUUAGACUUGUUUUGCACUUGGAUCACUUGUACCCGCUCUCUGAAAUCUCUGGUUUGGCUAAUAACUCGGUUGGAUUAGCUGCUGUGAUAAAGCAGUUCCAAUAAACAUGGAUACAGAAGUUGUCAUCACCUUGAAGCUUCCUGAAAUGCAGCAAUGGAGAUUUGUAACUGCACAAAAAAAGGUGUUUUGAUGAUGGCCUUUGUUUCCCUGGCCUCUUCCUCCCUACAAUGGAAGCAACACUGAGUUCUGGUGGCUUGUUUUCUGAGCCCUUUAAGUGAUAUUAACAAGUCUGAACUCACUUAUGCAUAAAGAACCCAUGUUUACUCUCUUAUCCGCUAUUCCAACUACUUCCUGAGGAAGCUUUCCAUCUAUAAGCGUUUUAUGUUCCUCCCUCUUAAAUACAUGACCUCACGCUGAUCAUGCUGAAACAAUUUCCCAGUAAUCCAGAUGGUUCCCAAUCAGCAGGCUUGAUACAAUAGUGACUUGGAGCUUUUGUGAGUGUUCUCAGUAAACUUUAUUUCCAGAUAAAUACUGAGUAGCUUUCUGCCAAGAACAAAUUCCUCAGGGAUUCAGUUAGAAACGUUUUGAGUCCUCCUCGAUGACAGACCUGUAGCUUUAGCUUUAAUUUACUUACUAUGAACAGUAUGUGCACAGCUCUGCCAGUUUCUGUUUCCUACUGAAUAAUUCAAAUGUACAAGUGUCUUACAUCAACACUUUGCUACCAAACGUGUGCUGUAAUUGCAUCAGACAAUAAAAUCUGUGAAAAGAGA